ACCAGAGUAAAUACGUUUGUCUUAGUCCCACACCGAAAGAAUAACGAGAUUGGCUCGGUAAAGAUGAGUAUAUAGCUAGGGGGUAGGGCGACCUUUAAACAUACUUACCUGGACGGGGUCUAUGGAUGAUCAAGAAGGCUCAUGGCCUAGAUCAAUGGUUCAUAUUGCACGUAGUGAGUGCGUUGAUCUACCAUCUUCUUUGGGAGAGUGGACGUUAUAAUUUAUGAUAGAGGGGGUACGCGUCCGCGCGGCCCCUAC
rnacentral:sRNA from 1 species